CUAAAAUAAAAUCUUAACUAUAUGCAUCUAAAUAGGCGUCUUAUGAAAAUAUAAUCAAAAUUAAAUAGACUUUUAUUUUAGUUUCAUAUCAGUCUUCUUCCUUCAGGCGAUUAUUGAUCAUAUUGAAAUCAAGCACAGCUCUAAUUGGAUUAACAAGAAGUCCCAAAAUACAAUUACGGAAGGUGAGAGUGACGCCUGACGUGUCGGACUGACCGCAACUGUUGCUAAUCGAUUUGGGUCUAUGCUGACUUCGAGAUCGGGAUUCUGAAUUUUCAUAAUAGAUUAUCGUCAUUACGUACCUUACUUACCUCUACGGCGCAUUGGUGUAUACAUAGUUACAAAUAAAAUAUCUCUUGCUUUCUAAUUUGGUAUUUAGCAAAUUUUCCUCAAAACUGUACAAUGUGGCAGAGUAAGAGGAAGCACCAACAAAGUCUUGAGGGUAUUAGCAGAAAGACUGGAUGAACCGACCCUAGAUCAAGGGUCAUCAAGUUGAUGAGGCUGCCAGGGACGGAGUUGAGAGAGUUACUUAAAUACUAACAUAGUUCUUUAGUUAUUUGUAAUGCCAACGCACUAUGAGACUAUGAUGUCUCGAAAUAAAAGAUUUUUAUUUA